rnacentral:rRNA from 1 species
UACGUAGGGGGCAAGCGUUGUCCGGAUUUAUUGGGCGUAAAGAGCUCGUAGGCGGCUUAGCAAGUCGGGUGUGAAAACUCCAGGCUCAACCUGGAGACGCCACUCGAGACUGCUAUGGCUAGAGUCCGGUAGGGGACCACGGAAUUCCUGGUGUAGCGGUGAAAUGCGUAGAGAUCGGAAGGAACACCAGUGGCGAAGGCGGCUACCUGGACAGAUACUGACACUGAGGCGCGAGAGCGUGGGGAGCAAACAGG